UUGGGAAAUAUUUCCAAAUAGAAAUCCCGUCGGAUAAAAUCAAUGGCUGCAUGCAAGAUUUGCGGCCUGAAAGUUUGGAGAUGUGGAGUUAAAUCAGCCAGUUUCAAUACCUCGAACUUGAUAAAACAUUUGAAGACGAAACGUGAACGAACACAACGAGUUUGAGCCUGCAAGAGCAGGACUGCUAUCCAGAGGAAGAAGGCCGCUGAACCGGUGCAACAAUCUCUGGUCUUUGAGGGCUAAGCAACAUUACUAUGUGUGACCCUCUACUUCCAAUUUUCUAAAAUGGCGACAAUCAACAAAAAAAAGUUGACUGUGACGGCCGACGCUUCAAGGGACGAGCGCUGACACACGGGACGGGACCGGACGGGAGGAAACAUUGGUUUGGGCAUCAAAUAUUGAUCUGGCGACUGGAUCGACUGAAGCCUUUCCAAAUAACGGCUUUUAUGCAACUCAUCCAGUGAGUUUACAGCGUCUGAAAGCACCGGGGCUCCAUAAUUUGCAAGUGAAUCCACCUUUAGAAACUAUGAUCAAUGACAAUACGGACACACAAUGACGGACAAUAUGGCGGCACAAUACAGCGAUCACGUGAUUGUGUGACAUUGGUGAUUGGGGUCUAUAGGAUACCAGCAUACUUAGACUCACAAGGGAUUCACACAAAUACCAGGUUCUACACUUCACAUGGCUGAUUUGUGUACACUCCACCUCUCCCAAGCACUUAUCUUUCUGACUCUCCCCCCAUCCCUUCUUUUUUUCUUGGUCAUCAGGCCCCCCACAUGGUGUCAACUGGAAAUACAACUGGCUAAUAAACUUGCAGAUGAUACAAAUAUUUUUUACAGUAGUGAUAGUUACACUGAACUUGUAACUACUGUGAAUAAGAAACUAAACUUAAUUAAAG